rnacentral:rRNA from 1 species
GCUUGUCUCAAAGAUUAAGCCAUGCAUGUCUAAGUAUAAGUAGUAUACAGCGAAACUGCGAAUGGCUCAUUAAAACAGUUAUAGUUUAUUCGAUAGUAAAAUUACAUGGAUAACCGUGGUAAAUCUAUGGCUAAUACAUGCGCAAAGGCCCGACCCUGAAGGGCUGUAUUUAUUAGACUUAAGCCAAUAUUCCUUGUGUCUAUUGCGAUGAUUCAUAAUAACUGAUCGAAUCUCAAAUUUGAGAUAAAUCAUUCAAGUUUCUGCCCUAUCAGCUUUCGAUGGUAGUGUAUUGGACUACCAUGGCAGUAACGGGUAACGAAGAAUUAGGGUUCGAUUUCGGAGAGGGAGCAUGAGAAACGGCUACCACAUCUAAGGAAGGCAGCAGG